GUGCAGCAGUCGCGAAACUUCACAAUGUGCGAAAGCACGAUGAGGGAAUCCCAAGUGCUUGCUCGUAAGAGUAAGCUGUUUCUCUGUCUAAAACGCAGAGAGAGUAAGGGCUGGGUAAGACGGGUGCCAGCCGCCGCGGUAAUACCUGCAGCUCGAGUGGUGGCCGCUAUUAUGGGCCUAAAACGUCCGUAGCCGGUUUAUAAAUGCCUGGGUAAAUCGGACCGCUUAACGGUUCGAAUUCCGGGUAGACUGAUAAACUUGAGACCGGGAGGAGCUAGAGGUACUCCUGGGGUAGAGGUGAAAUUCUGUAAUCCUAGGGGGACCACCAGUGGCGAAGGCGUCUAGCUAGAACGGGUCUGACGGUGAGGGACGAAGCCCUGGGGCGCAAAC
rnacentral:rRNA from 1 species